rnacentral:sRNA from 1 species
UGCACGCUCUGAAAAGGCCCACUUGUCUUCGCAAUCUGUGGCCGGUAGAUUGAUACAAAACUUAAUGCAGAGGAAACCCUCUGCAUUGAUUUUUCCGGGGAAUUCUCUAUAUUUCUGAUGAUGUGGUGGGGGAUCUCAAUACCCCCGUUCUGUCUAUGAGCCUCCCAUCGUUCGUUAUCCACUCAAACACCCUAUUGCAUACGUGGCGCAUUUGAGUCCACUUCUCUGCUCCGAUUCGAUUCUCUGGCUGUUGGUAGGUGAUUCGUUGUGAAGAAUCGCCUACGGUCCUGAAGGUCGUUUGACUCUCUCAUG